rnacentral:misc_RNA from 1 species
CCCGCGUCGCGACAAACAGGUUGAUUUGUCACCCUCCGCGAAGAUGAUGGGAUUCACCAGAAAUUACCUCGUGAGCCUGUUCCUCUACGUCUUUAUUGUCAACGAGAUUCGUCAGCCUGCGGUGACGUGCCAAGAUGAAGAAGGCAGCCAAUGCAUACCAAAGAAGACCUUCCUGGCGUUGCUGCGUUUACCGGAAGUCAGCUCGAAUCUGGCGGCAUACUCGAGGACGGCAAGGAUUAUUCAGGAGACGAAGAACCACAACGAUAUAGCUCAUUUGAAGGCUCUCAGUUCCGAGGAGAACGACGACGCUGAGAUCUGCAUACCGGGCGGUCUCUAUUUGGAGCUCUUCAAGGAUCCGGCAUUACGUGGUCAUCUCAGCGUAAUGGCGCGUACCCACAAAUUGCCCGAAUUUCCCGGACGUCUUCUGGACGACAGCGAGGAGAUCGACUCGCGAGACCUGAUCCCCGAAUCGGAAAAACGCAGUCUCGCCACUUUGGCCAAGAACGACGACCUGCCGGUCACCAUUCAGGAACGCGAGGACGACGAUGACGAAGAGAAGAGAAGCAUUCCUUCCAGCGGCGAUGCGGACAGCCUGAUGCGCAUAUUACUGGGCGACGAUUAUCAUCGACGAGGGGCUGGUGUCUACGACUACCUGGGCGACCUGGAUCCAGAAGUGAUCGAGUAUCCAUUGGACAAACGUAACAUCGGCUCCCUGGCGCGAGACUUCGCGCUGCCUACGGGCAGACGUCACAUUGGUUCGGUGGCACGUGAUUACGGUCUACCAAAUGGUAAGAGGAACAUCGGCUCUUUGGCCAGGCAGAGCAUGCUGCCGCCGAACGGCAAGAGAAAUAUCGGUUCUCUGGCGAGAUACUCCAUGCUGCCGACGGGUAAAAGGAAUGUCGCCGCGCUGGCCAGGGAUUCCUCUCUGCCCUACGGUAAGCGAUAUCUCGGCUCGUUGGUCCGAAACGGUGGCUAUCCGGUCCGCGGAUACGACGACGGCAAGCGCAACGUCGCCUCGUUGGCCAGGAACGCCGACUGGCCCGGUUUCGUGAAGCGAGGUGGCACCGCGCCAGGCAGGAUGAUGGUCCGGGUAUUAAACCGCCAUGGGAGAUCCUUGAGCGACGAUCGCGAAGCGCAGAGCGAGCCUUUGGACCUCCAGCAGCUCAUCAGGCAAGGCUACGACAAUGGAAACGACGCCGCGGCGAACGUCGCCAGCGAUUGGACCACCCCUUUCAGCGUCUCGGAGAAUCUGGACGAGAGCAGGGCGAAGAACAGGUCGAACAGGAGAAUCGAUGCCGCGUUGCAAGCGAGGCACAAACGGCAGAUCGACUUUUCCGAUGAGUAUCCGCUGCCCGUUGUGCAGAACACCAACAUGCUCGACUACGAGGACAUGAUGGAGGCGUUGACCGAUCAUUAUCCGAACGCGGAGAAGAGGUUCAUGGGUUCCGCGCCGGAGAUGCCGGCCGACUCGGGCUACCCUGAAGUAUUGCCACCGAGUAAGAGACAUAUCGGGGCCCUCGCACGCCUCGGCUGGCUCCCGUCGUUUCGUACACCACGAUUCUCUCGGUCACCGCGAUAUCUGGUCGAAAGUACCAACAGAUCAAUCAGCCACGUCACGUCACGUCACGUCACGUCAAUGAUAACUCACCAAAUACCAAUCAACCAUCUACCACUUCUACAAAUCACUACGUAACAAAACAAAAUGUUUUCCAAUUGUGUCUUCUUCUUCUACUACUGCUACUACUACCACGAUACCACCUCAGGACUCAUCACGGGAGGAUCCCGCAGAUGGGUCCUCGUCCAACUACACCCCCAACGCGUCGGCUCGGUCGCUAAGACCGAUGUUC